GGAGGUAUAGCUUGGUGGUAGAGCGCAUGCUUAGCAUGCAUGAGGUCUUGGGUUCAAUUCCCAGUCCGGCCA
rnacentral:tRNA from 1 species